rnacentral:lncRNA from 1 species
CACAGGUAUGCAGGUAUGGGUAGUAUGUACUUGUACCCGCACCCGCUUACCCGAUGGGUAGAUGAUGUUACCCAUUAGUAUACCUGCGGGUAAAGAUAUGUUCCCAUACCCGCCUUCUUAUCGGGUAAAACCCAUCAGGUACUCAGGUUUCAUAUACCCAUUGCCAUCUCUGGUCCGUGCCACUAGGCCAUUGCCUUUGGAUAGCGCAAGUGCAACAGAAAAUUCAAGAAAAAUAAGGAAACUCAACGAAAAUUCAGGAAAAAUCAAUACACUGAGAAACUUAUUGCAACAAACUUAUGUCAAUAAAAAAAAGUAAAACUACAAUAAAAUAGAAACUUAUAUUGCACAAGUCCCAGGCUCAGCACAUCAUGCUCACCACAACAAAUAUAAAUAACUCCUUAGCUUGCACAAGUCCCAGGCUCAGCACAUCAUGCUCACCACAACAAAUAUAAAUAACUCCUUAGCUUGCUGUAUGGGAACAAGUGUUUUCUCUAUCAAUGGCCAUAGAUAGCUGGAAAAAAUGGCUUAUAGCUUAAUCCAUGGCUCAAUGUUGUAACACCCAAAAUUCCAUCAUGAAAAUAAUGUAAGCAACUCGGUCUAGUUUUUCGUGCUCUAAGGACUAAAUAAAUUACUUUAAUUAAAUUACGGUCUUUAAAUAAUUAAAGAGCACUUGAAAUAAUUUUAGAAGCAAUAAGUGCUUGGUAGAGUUUUUCUUUUCUCUUUUAUUUUGGCUUUUGUUUGAAUGCUUGCUUUUGUAUUUCAAAAGAAUUUGAAUUGGAUUUUGAAAACUUCAACUCUAUUUAAAUUCUCAAAACCCUCCACUUCUUUUUCCUCUCCUUGGGCCAAAAUCCCUUCUCUCUCUUUCAGCCCACGAGCAUUUUUUUUCCUUUCCCCCUCCCAACCGAAUGGGCCCAUUCCACCAGCCGGCCCAUUUUCUUUUCCCCCCUCCCUUUUCCC